GAUGAACGCUGGCGGCGUGCCUAAUACAUGCAAGUCGAGCGAACGGACGAGAAGCUUGCUUCUCUGAUGUUGGCGGCUGACGGGUGAGUAACACGUGGAUAACCUACCUAUAAGACUGGGAUAACUUCGGGAAACCGGAGCUAAUACCGGAUAAUAUUUUGAACCGCAUGGUUCAAAAGUGAAAGACGGUCUUGCUGUCACUUAUAGAUGGAUCCGCGCUGCAUUAGCUAGUUGGUAAGGUAACGGCUUACCAAGGCAACGAUGCAUAGCCGACCUGAGAGGGUGAUCGGCCACACUGGAACUGAGACACGGUCCAGACUCCUACGGGAGGCAGCAGUAGGGAAUCUUCCGCAAUGGGCGAAAGCCUGACGGAGCAACGCCGCGUGAGUGAUGAAGGUCUUCGGAUCGUAAAACUCUGUUAUUAGGGAAGAACAUAUGUGUAAGUAACUGUGCACAUCUUGACGGUACCUAAUCAGAAAGCCACGGCUAACUACGUG
rnacentral:rRNA from 1 species